rnacentral:rRNA from 1 species
AUACGGGGGGUGCAAGCGUUAAUCGGAAUUUCUGGGCGUAAAGCGCGCGUAGGCGGUUUGCUCAGUCGGAUGUGAAAGCCCAGGGCUCAACCUUGGAACUGCAUACGAUACUGGCAAACUAGAGUGUGAGAGAGGAUAGUGGAAUUUCCGGUGUAGCGGUGAAAUGCGUAGAUAUCGGAAGGAACAUCAGUGGCGAAGGCGACUGUCUGGCUCAACACUGACGCUGAGGUGCGAAAGCGUGGGUAGCAAACAGGAGUAGAAACCCCUGUAGUCC